UCCACCGUAGAAGGUAAUAGUCCUGUAAGUGAAACGAGAAGACCACGAGUUAUGAUCCAGAGUACCACGAGACACGUGAAACCUUGUGGGAAGCAGGGAGGACCACCUCCCAAGGCUAAAUACUACCUGAUGACCGAUAGUGAAGCAGUACCGUGAGGGAAAGGUGAAAAGAACCCCGGGAGGGGAGUGAAAUAGAACCUGAAACCGUGUGCCUACAACCGCUCAGAGCCCCUUAUGAGGGUGAUGAGGUGCUUUUUGUAGAACGAGCCAACGAGUUACGGUAUGUAGCAAGGUUAAGUACUUAAGGUACGGAGCCGAAGGGAAACCGAGUCUGAAUAGGGCGACUAGUUGCAUGCCGUAGACCCGAAACCGGGUGACCUAUCCAUGGCCAGGUUGAAGCGAGGGUAAAACCUCGUGGAGGACCGAACCACGUUGCUGUUGAAAAAGCAUGGGAUGAGCUGUGGAUAGCGGAGAAAUUCCAAUCGAACCCGGAGAUAGCUGGUUCUCUCCGAAAUAGCUUUAGGGCUAGCGUCGAGUAUGAGUAGUGGAGGUAGAGCACUGAAUGGGCUAGGGGGCAUAGCGCUUACCGAACCUUAUCAAACUCCGAAUGCCACAUACUUUGAGCUCGGCAGUCAGACUACGAAUGAUAAGAUCCGUGGUCAAAAGGGAAACAGCCCAGAUCGUCAGCUAAGGUCCCAAAGUGUAAGUUAAGUGGGAAAGGAUGUGAGAUUUCUAAGACAACUAGGAUGUUGGCUUAGAAGCAGCCAUUCAUUAAAAGAGUGCGUAAUAGCUCACUAGUCGAGAGAUCUUGCGCCGAAAAUGUAACGGGGCUAAACUUACCACCGAAGCUACGGGCUUGAACUUAGUUCAAGCGGUAGGAGAGCGUCGUAACCGGGCUGAAGUCGUACCGUAAGGAGCGGUGGACUGGUUACGAGUGAGAAUGUUGGCAUCAGUAGCGAGAUGUGGGUGAGAAUCCCACAGGCCGAAAACCUAAGGUUUCCUCAGGAAGGUUCGUCCGCUGAGGGUUAGUCGGGACCUAAGCCGAGGCCGAAAGGCGUAGGUGAUGGACAACUGGUUGAUAUUCCAGUACCACUACCAUCGUUAUUAU
rnacentral:rRNA from 1 species